AGUGAGCGCUGGCGGUAGGCCUAACACAUGCAAGUCGAACGGCAGCACAGUAAGAGCUUGCUCUUACGGGUGGCGAGUGGCGGACGGGUGAGGAAUACAUCGGAAUCUACCUUUUCGUGGGGGAUAACGUAGGGAAACUUACGCUAAUACCGCAUACGACCUACGGGUGAAAGCAGGGGAUCUUCGGACCUUGCGCGAUUGAAUGAGCCGAUGUCGGAUUAGCUAGUUGGCGGGGUAAAGGCCCACCAAGGCGACGAUCCGUAGCUGGUCUGAGAGGAUGAUCAGCCACACUGGAACUGAGACACGGUCCAGACUCCUACGGGAGGCAGCAGUGGGGAAUAUUGGACAAAGGGCGCAAGCCUGAUCCAGCCAUACCGCGUGGGUGAAGAAGGCCUUCGGGUUGUAAAGCCCUUUUGUUGGGAAAGAAAAGCAGCAGGUUAAUACCCCGCUGUUCUGACGGUACCCAAAGAAUAAGCACCGGCUAACUUCGUG
rnacentral:rRNA from 1 species